UACGGAGGGAGCUAGCGUUGUUCGGAAUUACUGGGCGUAAAGCGCGCGUAGGCGGCUUUGUAAGUUAGAGGUGAAAGCCCGGGGCUCAACCCCGGAACUGCCUUUGAUACUGGAAAGCUUGAGUUCGGGAGAGGUGAGUGGAACUGCGAGUGUAGAGGUGAAAUUCGUAGAUAUUCGCAAGAACACCAGUGGCGAAGGCGGCUCACUGGCCCGAUACUGACGCUGAGGUGCGAAAGCGUGGGGAGCAAACAGG
rnacentral:rRNA from 1 species